GAUGAACGCUGGCGGCGUGCCUAAUACAUGCGAGUCGAGCGAACAGACGAGGAGCUUGCUCCUCUGACGUUAGCGGCGGACGGGUGAGUAACACGUGGAUAACCUACCUAUAAGACUGGGAUAACUUCGGGAAACCGGAGCUAAUACCGGAUAACAUGUUGAACCGCAUGGUUCAACAGUGAAAGACGGUCUUGCUGUCACUUAUAGAUGGAUCCGCGCCGCAUUAGCUAGUUGGUAAGGUAACGGCUUACCAAGGCAACGAUGCGUAGCCGACCUGAGAGGGUGAUCGGCCACACUGGAACUGAGACACGGCCCAGACUCCUACGGGAGGCAGCAGUAGGGAAUCUUCCGCAAUGGGCGAAAGCCUGACGGAGCAACGCCGCGUGAGUGAAGAAGGUCUUCGGAUCGUAAAACUCUGUUAUUAGGGAAGAACAAAUGUGUAAGUAACUAUGCACGUCUUGACGGUACCUAAUCAGAAAGCCACGGCUAACUACGUG
rnacentral:rRNA from 1 species